rnacentral:snRNA from 1 species
AUACUUACCUGGUGAAGGGGCCUCGUUGAUCACCGAGGAUGACCGCCCAGGGGGAGGCGCGGGCAUUGCACUGCGCUCGCAUGGACCCCUGCCACUACCUCAAACUGGGGCAGAUGAGGCAUGCAAAUUGCUUAAAUCAGGUUCAACUCAAAAGAGGGCGCCACC